rnacentral:rRNA from 1 species
UUCACGGGUGCCGCCGUCGGCCUCCGCGCUCUCGAGUGCCCGCCGCAGGACUAUUUAAACUCUUUGUCAAACAAGUAUAAUCUGAGUGGAAUUUAAUGCUUCAAUUAAAACCUUUAACAACGGAUCUCUUGGUUCUGGCAUCGAUGAAGAACGCAGCGAAAUGCGAUAAGUAAUGUGAAUUGCAGAAUUCAGUGAAUCAUCGAAUCUUUGAACGCACAUUGCGCUCCCUGGUAUUCCGGGGAGCAUGCCUGUUCGAGCGUCAUUAUCAACCAUCAAGCCCUGCUUGGUAUUGGGUGCCGUCCCUGCUGUGGACGCUCCCUAAAGUAAUCGGCGGUGGUGUUGAACCUCAAGCGUAGUAAAUCUCCAGCUUUCUAGGUGAGACGCCGCUCGGCCUCGAGAACCCAUCACCUCAAGGUUGACCUCGGAUCAGGUAGG